AUGUAUCUUUUCCCCACCCAGACUGAAAGAAGCUGAAGAGGUGUGCAGACAGAAGAAGGGAAAAUCACUUUAUAAAAUAAAACCAAGACAUGACUCUGGAAUUAAAGCAAAGAUAAGCAUGAAAACCUGAACAAUGCAAAGCAGAAUGGAGAUAAGUCACGGCCACCACUUCCACAAAUUCAGCUGACCUGAGGGCAGGAAGGAAACUAUAUCAUUUCGUUCAUUUUUCUUCUUGACCUCUUGCAUAAUCUUUGUGUUUUCUAGACAGUUCACUGAUUAUUGAAUUUUACUGUACAUUCAUAUAAAAAUGCAAAAGUGGUAGUAGCCCAGUGGAGAAUUUGACACCUUUUCUUUUUGUAAAAGUUUAUGGUAUUAUACCGAUUGACCGCAACAGCAUGUGUAGGAGGCAGUAUCUGCAUUAAUGCUAACAUGCUAAACAUUAACCUAAAACUUACUUUUGUGAGAGUAUUCCUUAUCACAGAAACACUUUCCUUUCUACUGACAGCCAGUACUCCACAUCAGUGCAUUGAGAUUUAUGGUUAAAAUGUUAUUUCUAGUGAAUUGUUUGUAUCAGUUUCACAUCUAUGUAGAAAAUUUUCUAUUUUAAAAUUUAAGUACCAUUUAUAUGUUGUGAUCAAGGCUUUCCCACCUCUUGGGUUGCUCUCCAUAAUAAUUUUUUUUUGAAAGAAGAUGAUCAAUUUUUUUACUCAAGUCAGAUAAAGAAUAGAAAAAAAAUAGCAAAAGAAAAACCCUCUCCUAUCCAUCACUUCCUGUAAAACGUGACUAAUUGUUGGCAAAAAAAAAAAAAAAGUUAAGUUUUCGGAUGGAUUGGUUUCUGC